rnacentral:rRNA from 1 species
CCUACGGGAGGCAGCAGUAGGGAAUCUUCCGCAAUGGACGAAAGUCUGACGGAGCAACGCCGCGUGAACGAUGAAGGCCUUCGGGUCGUAAAGUUCUGUUGUUAGGGAAGAACAAGUGCUAGUUGAAUAAGCUGGCACCUUGACGGUACCUAACCAGAAAGCCACGGCUAACUACGUGCCAGCAGCCGCGGUAAUACGUAGGUGGCAAGCGUUGUCCGGAAUUAUUGGGCGUAAAGCGCGCGCAGGCGGUUUCUUAAGUCUGAUGUGAAAGCCCCCGGCUCAACCGGGGAGGGUCAUUGGAAACUGGGAAACUUGAGUGCAGAAGAGGAAAGUGGAAUUCCAAGUGUAGCGGUGAAAUGCGUAGAGAUUUGGAGGAACACCAGUGGCGAAGGCGACUUUCUGGUCUGUAACUGACGCUGAGGCGCGAAAGCGUGGGGAGCAAACAGGAUUAGGAUACCCUGGUAGUCCACGCUGUAAACGAUGAGUGCUAAGUGUUAGAGGGUUUCCGCCCUUUAGUGCUGAGUUAACGCAUUAAGCNCUCGCCGUGGNGGCGGUCGCGAGACGNGAACGACAAGAAGUAGUAGCGNGAGACGUGCGACGACGACGACGAGGGAGGAGG